AUGCGAGUAUGCCAACGAAAGAUUGUUUUGACCUUGGGUGGAACCGUCGACGGUGGUGCUUGUGGGCGUCGUUACCUUGCUAAAGGUGUUUUGGGGCGAUUCUCGAUCCCUGUGUGCUCCUGGGGAUACCCCAGAUUUGGGCUUUCCAGAAUGGAUGAUGGCGAUGUUUUGGCGUCGUCACCCCAUGGGGGCAUCAUCUUCGGAGCCAUUCAUCGGCUAGAGGGACAAGUGUUUGGCGUCGGUGGCUGGGUGCAGGUCUUCGCAUGCUUCUCAUGCGGUCACCAAGGUGGAGUGGCGUGGCAUCUACGGCCUCGACGGCGACGAGUCUUCGCAGCAUGGUACAGCUGGGUCUCAGUGCUGGAUACUGUUUGA
rnacentral:rRNA from 1 species